rnacentral:rRNA from 1 species
UACGGAGGGUGCGAGCGUUGUCCGGAAUCACUGGGCGUAAAGGGCGCGUAGGUGGCCCGUUAAGUGGUUGGUGAAAUCCCGGGGCUCAACUCCGGGCCUGCAGCCGAUACGGGCAGACUAGAGUUCGGCAGGGGAGACUGGAAUUCCUGGUGUAGCGGUGAAAUGCGCAGAUAUCAGGAGGAACACCGGUGGCGAAGGCGGAUCUCUGGGCCGUAACUGACGCUGAGGAGCGAAAGCAUGGGGAGCGAACAGG